UGAGGAAUAUUGGUCAAUGGAGGCAACUCUGAACCAGCCAUGCCGCGUGAAGGAUUAAGGCCCUCUGGGUUGUAAACUUCUUUUAUAUGGGAAGAAAUGUUCUGAUUCUUCAGAGCUUGACGGUACCAUAGGAAUAAGCACCGGCUAACUCCGUGCCAGCAGCCGCGGUAAUACGGAGGGUGCAAGCGUUAUCCGGAUUCACUGGGUUUAAAGGGUGUGUAGGUGGGCAGAUAAGUCAGUGGUGAAAUCUUCCGGCUUAACCGGAAAAUUGCCGUUGAUACUAUUUGUCUUGAAUAUUGUGGAGGUAAGCGGAAUAUGUCAUGUAGCGGUGAAAUGCUUAGAUAUGACAUAGAACACCAAUUGCGAAGGCAGCUUACUAUAUAAUUAUUGACACUGAGGCACGAAAGCGUGGGUAGCGAACA
rnacentral:rRNA from 1 species